rnacentral:tRNA from 1 species
AGGCUCUGGUGUACCCUUAGCACACAUCGAUGAGUUUGCACCUCAACAUGAAAUUUCACUACAAAGCC